AGCUCCAAUAGCGUAUGUUAAAGUUUUUGCGGUUAAAGGGUUCGUAUUUGGAUUUCUGCUCAGGACGACCGGCCCGCCCUCUGCGUGAGAAUCUGGCUCGGCCUUGGCGUCUUCUUGGCGAACGUAGUUGCACUUGAUUGUCCGGUGCGAUGCCCAGAAUUCUUACUUUGAGGGAAUUAGAGCGUUUCAGGCAUGGAAUAAUAAGAUAGGACCUCGGUUCUAUUUUGUUGGUUUCUAGAGUUCAGGUAAUGAUUAAUAGGGAUCGUUGGGGCAUUCGUAUUUAAUUGUCAGAGGUGAAGUUCUUGGAUCUGUUAAAGUCGGACUAUUGCGAAUGCAUUUGCCAAGGAUGUUU
rnacentral:rRNA from 1 species